GUGGGGAAUUUUGCGCAAUGGGGGGAACCCUGACGCAGCGACGCCUCGUGAAUGAUGAAGUCUUUAGGGAUGUAAAGUUCUGUUAAUAGGGACGAUUAUGACGGUACCUGUAGAGGAAGCUCCGGCAAAUUACGUGCCAGCAGCCGCGGUAAUACGUAAGGAGCUAGCGUUGUCCGGAUUUAUUGGGCAUAAAGCGUGCGUAGGCCGUUUUGUAAGUUAGAUGUAAAAACCAGGGGCUUAACCCCUGUAAGCCUCUAAAACUGCAAGACUAGAGAACGGGAGAGGAAAGCGGAACUCACAGUGUAGCGGUGAAAUGCGUAGAUAUUGUGAGGAACACCGGUGGCGAAGGCGGCUUUCUGGACCGUUUCUGACGCUGAGGUACGAAAGCGUGGGGAGCAAACAGGAUUAGAAACCCCGGUAGUCC
rnacentral:rRNA from 1 species